UGCAGCCCUGCUGCCGCUGCUUGCCGGUGCGCGGAGGUCGACCCUGGGGGUUGUCUGAAAAACCCGGUCCGCGCCCCACGCUGUUGCCUCCCGCUGCUCGGUGCGAGGUCACCGCGGCCGGAUCGGCGGCUCUCCGGGGGGGUCGUGCCCGCUGAGAGCUCCACUGCCCAUGGCCUGGAAUGAGGGGCCCUUGCGGCUUGAAGGGAAAAUAAGCGAGUGAACACAGGGAAAAGUUCCAAAUUAGCACCCCACUGACAGAAGUGGCUGCAAUGUGACUUCCUUUCUAGCUGGCCUAGCACCAUCCACCUAGCAAAAAAACAUGACUGGGACAAAUGCUGCUGUUCACUAGCAAGCAGUGAGUUGACCUGAGAGUAGGAAUAGGGUAUUGUACACCUGCACAGAAAAAGCUGUAUAAGAAUGUAAGAAAAUUGAAUGAGUGAAUGGGAAGAGUUAAUACAGUGAGUAAAGAAAAAUAGGCCUCCUGGAAUCUCCAUAAUUUGAACUUUCAGUGCCUCGAAAGCAAGAGGUGCUCAAGAUUUUUUGUUUUCUGAAUCUGAAUUAAGACUUCAGUAUGCUGUGCAACAUUGGAAAAAAGCUUCAGAAGACUGUUCAUUAGCUAUUGAAACUAAGAUACUGAACGUCUGUUUCCAAUUAGUUGUCCAUUCAGCAUACUGUUCAAUUAGUCAGUGGGUGCUAAAAAGCCAAAUGUUCAUAUAAGCAAUACUGAAGGUUAUGUGACUGAAGUUUGUCCCUUCCCCUGUUCCCUUCAUCUGCUGAAUUGUAGAUGCUGGUUUUGUAUUAUUCUAACACAUGGAUGCCCUGAGGCAUGCCCUCCACCAUGAGAGCUGCUCGUAACAGUGAAAGGGAUUGAGAUCAACUAGUUGCAAUUUGGAAUUCUUCACUUGCAGCAAAGGUGGCCCUUACAGAGAGGCCUCGGGCAGCCAAAUAUGCCCAUAUCCUUUGCAGCAUUCAGACGCAUUAUUGCAAUAUGAUUGUGUUCACACUAAUGUUCAGGAUGUAAGUUAAAAGAGAGAGACAGAAAUAGAAAAAUGACGUUAUAACAGAGUUACUUAACACACUGUAAUAAAACAAGGCUUUCAUUUGCAGGUAUCCACCUUAGAUAUCAAAUACGAGAUUUAAUAUUUUGACAUUAGGUAAUUAUGUUUCUUAGUCUUGUUCUUCUUGAUCAUUUUAGGCUUGAAGCUUAAAAAAAACCAACCAAGAUAUGAAUUAUCUAUGUAGGGAAUGUUGCACAUUGAAAAGUUGCGUGAGUGCGUGAGUUUACCUACUUUGAAGCCUGUCAUUAGGGAUUAGCCAUAUUCUCCAUCCUCAACUCCUACUUUGCCUGUGUCAUUUUUUGUCAGCCUGCAAGUGAUUUUACAGUAAUUGCAUUGGUAAGUGCAGGAAAGGAAAAAGUAUGAUUUUUCAUGUAAAAGAGAUUUUAAGGGUGCUGUGACUUGCUAACUAUCACUAGUGUUAAGGCCAAGAUUCAAAUGAUGAUUUUUAAAACCUAAAGAUGCAUGAAAUCAUGCUUAAUUUCUGUAUCUACUUUUUACACAUGUAUAAAAGCAUUUAAUUUUACGUAAGCGAAUUGUUCAAAAAGAUUUAUACCCCAGUAAAAUAAAUGCCAUGAG